CUAAAGACUUUAUUUCUUCUAUCCUGAGCUUGAGAUUAUUUGUGUAGGAUGUAUGAGUCAGGAAAGUUUUGAGCCUCUUUGAUAAACAGUGUAGGUGGCCCCCUGAUUGUUAUACCAGGCGGGCCAUUCAAUUCAGACCCCAGACAGCUGGGGGUCGUGUGCCCCCCCACACACCGCCUUCCUACCACAUGCCAAAAUCCCUCAAAUGCAUAUGUAAAAGAUGCUUUUUUAAAAAAAAAUGUAGAGAGGGGGGGGGCCUGUUUUUGAUGACCACAUACCCUGGCUGCAGGUACCCUGCAUCUGUAGUUAAGACUUUUGGCAUUAUUUCUAUAUGAGGACAUGUCUCCCAGACUCUGCAUUGAUCCUGUAUGUGGAGCUUGUUUGACCAGAUGAGAAUCUUAAGCAUAUUUUUUUGUUUUAUUUCACAAUAGUUUAAAUUUGUCUCAAAAGGCCUGUCUGUAUUUUAAAAUUGUGUAUUUUUGCCUUGAGAUGAGUUAGGAUCCAUCAUGACAAUAUGUGGUUCUUAUUUAUGCGCUCUAUGUCACUGAUAUGUUGCUUUGUUUAGAAUUGUUUAAUUCACAGCUUUUAAAUGUAUCUUUUGAAAGCUCUCAACUGAUAUUAUGUUUUUAUUUGAUGUAUUCUUGAAAAAGUAAUUUUUUUAAAACAUUGAUCAUUUCUCGUAUAGAAGUUUUGGUAAUCAUAUUUUAAUAAGAGAUUUAAGAUAAUUAUCCGCAUAUGUUUGCUUGAUUGAAAUAUGUAAACUGUUGUGUUCAUUGAGACUAGAGUAUUGUUAACAUUAUUGUGAAUCUAUAGAUCAAAAUAUGGCUGUCAUCAAAAUCUUAUCAGUCAUGGACAACAAUAUUUAUUCAAAUGAAGAUUGAACUGUAUUUCUGUAGUCCUUUGUAUAAAAUCAUGGAUAGUCUGAUUUAAAACCAACUCAUAUUUAGUAAAUGAUAUUACACCAUCUCAUGAAGAGAAGGCUGAGCUAUUUUGAUAUAAUUGUUAACUUCACCAAUAAAUACGAGUAGAUGUCUUAUAAAAUAGUUGCUUAGUCCUAAACCAGAUCUGUAUGGCCAUGAACCAUUCUAUUGUUUUAUUUUUUUUGUUUUGUUAUAUCUUACAGUAGCAACGUUAUCAAAUGUAAAAGCAAAAAUAUAUAUAUAAAUAUAUAUAUAUAUCAGUCAGUUUCAUGUUCAUCUAGUCCAUAAUUUAUUUGAAUCUGUAUUUUUCAAAGAAAGUGUUAGCUUGAUGCUCUAAUGAUAAAGAUUUUAAUCUCUCUGAUUUGGCUGGUUAUAUGGUUGACUUGGGUGUUUUUUUUUAUAGUUUUUAUAAUGUUUGAUUUAAAAAAAAAAUGUUCUGCUUAUUAAAAUGAGAAGAGCUAAGUCCCUUUUGAGGAGUAUUUGAAUGCAUUUAAUAACUGCUACUAUUAAGUAAAGGUCAAGUACUCCUUUUGACUUUGCGAUUUAUAGGACAGAUGAUGUAAAUGUCCCCUGUUUCUAUGGCCUAUUUUAUCUGGCCAGCUUAAUGACCAACUGCUUUCACUUUUUCUAACUAAUGUCAGGUACCCAUCAAAAUAUAGACCCCCUCAGUUUUACCACUCAGCCACCAUGACCGCCAUCUCUGUGAGUCUUGGGAAUGAAUUGCCAACUUUAAAAUCCCUUUUAAAUAAAAAAAAAAAAAAAGGAAAUUUCAAGUCAUUUCAAGAGAUUCAAGCCAAAGAUAUGAAAAAAGCUGUUGAUGGAGGAGGUAUUCAUAUAAUAAAGUUUUUGAAAGACUUUUUAUUUGGCAAAACUGUAGUUCAUAUAGUCUUCUUCUUUUUUUAUUAUCAUUCCCAUGAUUACAUUGGACCAGUGAUAUGACCUUAACUCUGUUUAAAUUAUAUACCUCUUGUUUCGAACGUGAUGUGAUAUUGACCCAUUACACUUAAGGCUACAGCUUAUUGUUUGACUACCUGGUCAAUGGGAGGCUAUUCCCCUUGUUACAAUGUCUAAAAACUGAUUGCUAUGUGAUGUCAUUACCCGAGUUAAAUGUUGGUAACUUGGGUUUGAUAUUUUGCAAUCACAAUACUUCGUCUUAUGAACUCAUAUCCUGUCUGUUAUGUUAUUAAUUGUAUUUUGCUUUAGUAAUGAGCUGUAGGCGUUUCUUCAUUGUCAUCCAGGGUAUCCCAUUAUAUCAGUGUUUCUCAAACUUUUACUAGUGGUGCCCAUGUAAACAAAAAAAAAAUAGCAUUCACCUUUCGGCCAGCCAGGAGGGUGGAGCCUAUAUUGUUUUCCAGCAUUGUGAGCUAUAGAAAUUUAAUGCAUUCUCCUGAAGUCUACAAUGCAGUAGUUCUCCUUUUGAAAACUGCACAGCUCAGAUAAAGUAAGAAGGAGCAGGUCCAUACUGAAAUUUUUAUGAGUCAUUCAAGGCAGUAGAGCAUGCAUGUUUAAUGUGGGUUAGGGUUGCACCUCACAGAUUGAGAAACGCUGCAUUAAAUCAAUAAAUCACUUCAAAUUAACGAAUUUUCUUUUAUUAUGCAAAAAUGAUUCAUACAAUUAUCUUAUUGGAAACAAAUUGAAAAAAGUAUUUUGC